ACCGCCCCCUCACCCAGCCGGCCCUGAGGACUGGGCUUUCCGUCGUGGACCCCGGCAGCUCUGCCUUUUCCUCUUUUCUUGAAGCGUGGGUGCAGCAGGGUGUACAGCCCGUUCACGUGCAGCUCCACGCCUUUUACACGCAUGCCCAGGCCGCCCUCAAAGACCUAGAAGGCAUCCAGACCCACGGGCUUCCCAGGGCCUCCUCCUAGAGGCAACUGCUACUCUGACGUUGUUAUUGUCAGCUUUACAAUAAUCAUCAUCCUCACUUUCUCUCUUGAAGACGGGCAACGGUACAGGCUCCGACUGCUGGGUGAAAUAUCUAUGUGAGAAGGAAGAAUCCUGGAAGAUUCUACGAGGUUCUAGAAGACAGACAGCCAGCAUCUGCUCGGAGGUGUUGGGAAGUCAGUCUCUUUGGCCUGGGGGUCAGUGAGCGGAUCCUGAGGGGGUGCGGCCCUGGCUCUGGGUGUUUGUCCGGACGCCCACUCGCUCUUUGAACCUCAAUGCCCCACCUGUGACAUGGGGGCCCCAGCGCAGCACACUGCAGGUCACUGGGGACAAGCCCAGUGCCCAGAGCGUCAGUCCACGGCAACGAAGAUCAAAAUAAUGAGGAAUACAUAACAUACUACGUACAACCACAGAGACGUGAGUCUGAAUUGUUACAGGUAGGAGAGGUGGCUGCCGGGGUCAAGGGCCGACUGGCCUGGGUCAAGGCCGAAGGCCUUUGGCUCUGGGGCUGAGGUGGGCUGUGGCUGAGGAGGGCUUGGCAUCCUCCGGCCCAUCCCGAUUUAUCCUAGUUUCAUGGAUGUAUGGAUGUUGGAGCCUCCGUGGGGGCCGCGGCUGGACUGAGGUCCCACAGGGCUGGGGUGGGGACGUAAUGCUAAGCCAGAGUCUGGAAAGGGCCACAGGUUUGGUCUUCCUUCUCCACAGCACUGCUGAGAAAGACGCUAGGAUUGCUCGUGCAGACCCGGCCAGCCAGGGCCCCCCAACUGCCGGGGCUCACCUGUCAGAUGGAAGGGAGGAACACCCCAGAACCCCCGACUCGUUGGCUCUGCUUCCCUCCACCACCAUGGGCACGGUCUGAUCACACAUGGCUCCCCUCCAUGCCCAGGAGAGACCCCGUUCCCGCCCACGCCUUCACCUCUGGGUGCCCUGGCCCGGGCCCCUGUCCCCCUGGGUCUCAGCUCAGCGGUUCAGCCAUCAAGGGCCUGUCCUAGAAGGAUUUAAAAAUAGCUCAUCUACUUUUUUUUUAAAGUUUCAGAAAUGCCUGCAAGUAGCCCAGGGCAGCAAGGAAGCCGCUGGGGGAGUAAAAGAAACCGGAAGCUCUUUCGACUUACCGGCUUUCUGGGGAGAAGGCAGCAUUACCAGGCAGCUGCUGAGGAUCUGAGCAGUCCUACCGCCCCUCUGGGCUUUCCUGGACAAAGACAGGAAGAGGCACGCACUGCAUGCACUAAGACGUGGCAGAACGAGUAAUCGAGGAAGCAAGGGUGGUGUGCGAGAAAAUGGAGCUGUGACACUCAGACAAAUAGGGAGGGCCCCAGGAGACGAGGCAGAGCUGGGCGUGACUCAGCCACAAGCCGAGGGGCACCACAAACCAUGGCAGUGCCCAGAACCUGCAGGAAGCAGGAAGGACCUUCCCCUGGAACUUCUCGGGGAAGUGAGGCCCUGCCCACACCCUGAUUUCGGACUUUUGGCCUCCAGACCUUGAGAGAGCCAGAUAGCAAAUUGUUUCAGUUUUGUGAACCCACAUGAUCUCCACUGGAACACAACUCAGUUGCCUCCAGAGACAAGACACAAGGGGUAUUCUGCGUGCCAAUGAAACUUCACUUGUAACAAUAGGCAGAGGGCCAGGUUUGAUCCCCUGGCUGCAGUUUGCAGAACCUUGAGCUGCAAGGAUGGCAGGCCCUGGAGUUACUGAACAGCAGCUCCUCAAAAGGUGAAAGGAGAGUUUCCAUCUGACCCGGCAGCUCUAUCCCUAGGAAUCUACUCAGGAGAAAUGAACAUACACGUCUAUGUAAAACGUGUGCAGUAAACAAUAAAAUGUCCAUACCAGCAUCCUCCCUGGCAGGCAAAGGUAGAAACCAUGCAAACAUUCACAUGAAUGGAUAAAUAAAAUGUGGUGUAUAGCCACGCACGGGAACAUCGCUCGGCUGUGAGGAGGGAGGGAGGCCCUGACACGCGCUACAUGUGGCCGGGCCCUGAACACACGGGGUCCUCAGUGAGAAACACCAGACACAGAAGGCCACACAGCGUGUGACCCCAUUCCUGUGACACGUCCCCAACAGGCAGAUCCAGACAGAGCGUGGGCUCAUGGGUGCUGGGGCUGGGGGAGGAAGGAAUGGGGCGCAGAGUUAUUUUCAAGGGUGAAAAUAUUCUGGGAUUAGUGGCUGUAAUUGCACAGACUUGUAAAUAUAACAAAACUGCACCCCUUACAUGAGUGAAUUUUAUGGCAGGUGAAUCAUCUCUCAAUUUUUUUCAACAAAAGGAGUUAAAUAAAGGAGGCUUCCUAAGGCAGAGUGUGCAUGCCCAGAGAGUGAGGGUGGGGCCGGGGCUGGUGGGGACCCCGGGGUGCGGUGGUCCGAGGGGAGGGGCCGGUGGGACCCGGAGUUCAGGCCGUGGUGCGGUGGUCGGAGGGGAGGGGCGGUGGCCAGAGCCAGGCGGGUGUGCGCAGGCCCGGCCUUGUCUGCCAGGUGGUGAGCUGGGGCUUCAUUAUGACUUUCGAGGUCUUUCUCCAUAAAAAAAAGUCAAACAUACUUUAUGACCACAUUGGU